rnacentral:rRNA from 1 species
UGGGGGAUAUUGCACAAUGGGCGAAAGCCUGAUGCAGCGACGCCGCGUGGGGGAUGAAGGCUUUCGGGUUGUAAACCUCUUUCGCUAUCGAACAAGGCCCGCUUAGGGUGGGUUGAGGGUAGGUGGAGAAGAAGCGCCGGCUAACUACGUGCCAGCAGCCGCGGUAAUACGUAGGGCGCGAGCGUUGUCCGGAAUUAUUGGGCGUAAAGGGCUUGUAGGCGGCUUGUUGCGCCUGCUGUGAAAACGCGGGGCUUAACUUCGCGCGUGCAGUGGGUACGGGCAGGAGUGAGUGUGGUAGGGGUGACUGGAAUUCCAGGUGUAGCGGUGGAAUGCGCAGAUAUCUGGAGGAACACCGAUGGCGAAGGCAGGUCACUGGGCCAUUACUGACGCUGAGGAGCGAAAGCAUGGGUAGCGAACAGG